GCAAGUCGAACGAACUCUGGUAUUGAUUGGUGCUUGCAUCAUGAUUUACAUUUGAGUGAGUGGCGAACUGGUGAGUAACACGUGGGAAACCUGCCCAGAAGCGGGGGAUAACACCUGGAAACAGAUGCUAAUACCGCAUAACAACUUGGACCGCAUGGUCCGAGCUUGAAAGAUGGCUUCGGCUAUCACUUUUGGAUGGUCCCGCGGCGUAUUAGCUAGAUGGUGGGGUAACGGCUCACCAUGGCAAUGAUACGUAGCCGACCUGAGAGGGUAAUCGGCCACAUUGGGACUGAGACACGGCCCAAACUCCUACGGGAGGCAGCAGUAGGGAAUCUUCCACAAUGGACGAAAGUCUGAUGGAGCAACGCCGCGUGAGUGAAGAAGGGUUUCGGCUCGUAAAACUCUGUUGUUAAAGAAGAACAUAUCUGAGAGUAACUGUUCAGGUAUUGACGGUAUUUAACCAGAAAGCCACGGCUAACUACGUGCCAGCAGCCGCGGUAAUACGUAGGUGGCAAGCGUUGUCCGGAUUUAUUGGGCGUAAAGCGAGCGCAGGCGGUUUUUUAAGUCUGAUGUGAAAGCCUUCGGCUCAACCGAAGAAGUGCAUCGGAAACUGGGAAACUUGAGUGCAGAAGAGGACAGUGGAACUCCAUGUGUAGCGGUGAAAUGCGUAGAUAUAUGGAAGAACACCAGUGGCGAAGGCGGCUGUCUGGUCUGUAACUGACGCUGAGGCUCGAAAGUAUGGGUAGCAAACAGGAUUAGAUACCCUGGUAGUCCAUACCGUAAACGAUGAAUGCUAAGUGUUGGAGGGUUUCCGCCCUUCAGUGCUGCAGCUAACGCAUUAAGCAUUCCGCCUGGGGAGUACGGCCGCAAGGCUGAAACUCAAAGGAAUUGACGGGGGCCCGCACAAGCGGUGGAGCAUGUGGUUUAAUUCGAAGCUACGCGAAGAACCUUACCAGGUCUUGACAUACUAUGCAAAUCUAAGAGAUUAGACGUUCCCUUCGGGGACAUGGAUACAGGUGGUGCAUGGUUGUCGUCAGCUCGUGUCGUGAGAUGUUGGGUUAAGUCCCGCAACGAGCGCAACCCUUAUUAUCAGUUGCCAGCAUUAAGUUGGGCACUCUGGUGAGACUGCCGGUGACAAACCGGAGGAAGGUGGGGAUGACGUCAAAUCAUCAUGCCCCUUAUGACCUGGGCUACACACGUGCUACAAUGGAUGGUACAACGAGUUGCGAACUCGCGAGAGUAAGCUAAUCUCUUAAAGCCAUUCUCAGUUCGGAUUGUAGGCUGCAACUCGCCUACAUGAAGUCGGAAUCGCUAGUAAUCGCGGAUCAGCAUGCCGCGGUGAAUACGUUCCCGGGCCUUGUACACACCGCCCGUCACACCAUGAGAGUUUGUAACACUCCAAAGUCGGUGGGGUAACCUUUU
rnacentral:rRNA from 1 species